rnacentral:pre_miRNA from 1 species
GAUGUACUCCCUCCGAUCCUAAAUUCUUGUCUCAAAUUUGCCCAAAUAUGGAUGUAUCUAUUCUUAAAAAGUGUCUAGAUACAUGUAAUAUUUCGACAACAAUUUAGGAUCGGAGGGAGUAUCAA